rnacentral:rRNA from 1 species
AGUAACGUGUGGGCAACCUGCCCUAUACUGGGGAAUAAUCACUGGAAACGGUGACUAAUACCGCAUGUCAUUACGGAAGGGCAUCCUUCUGUAAGAAAAGGAGUAAUUCGGUAUAGGAUGGGCCCGCAUCUGAUUAGCUAGUUGGUGAGAUAACAGCCCACCAAGGCGACGAUCAGUAGCCGACCUGAGAGGGUGAUCGGCCACAUUGGGACUGAGACACGGCCCAA